rnacentral:lncRNA from 1 species
AACUGACUUCAAAGGUCUUGUGUUAGUCUCUGCUACCAUCUGUUCUUGUGUUACAACAGCACAAAACAUCAAAUAGAUAUAUUAUUUUAAAGUCAUUGCCAAUUUCACUGAAAGAAGUGCAUGAAAAUGAGCAGAACAGAACAACUGAGAAAGGAAGAGGCCUGGACAAUCUCCAUUUUAUCAUUCUGGGAGGAGGGAUGGACCAAUAAUAAGAAGCCUAGAUUCAACAUUGCUUCAGACUACAUGAUCCAGAGGAUACCCAGAUGCUUCACGUAAGGGCAUUGAGUCUUGGCUGCAAGAAAGAGGGUCAGCAUAGCCAGAAGCUGUGAAAAUCAAUUUUGACUUAACAUCAACCCUGUUGCUUUAGCUUUGGGACUCUGCUGCUCCAGACACACAUUUGUGGCAGAUUGACUGGGGGGUUGUGAAGCAAUUACAAGAGCACUUGGACACUUGGCCAAAGCUGCCAAGCUCUCAUUACAUUCCAUCAAAGUCAGAAACCCCAAGUGGGUUGCCACGGGCUUGCAGGCUUGUGGCUUGUCUCACAUACUUCUCCAUGUCCACUAUCUGCAUUCCAAUAUGUUUGUACAAGGCAAAAGCUCAUUAAAUACCA